rnacentral:rRNA from 1 species
UACGGAGGGAGCUAGCGUUGUUCGGAAUUACUGGGCGUAAAGCGCACGUAGGCGGCUUUGUAAGUUAGAGGUGAAAGCCCGGGGCUCAACCCCGGAAUUGCCUUUAAGACUGCAUCGCUUGAAUCCGGGAGAGGUGAGUGGAAUUCCGAGUGUAGAGGUGAAAUUCGUAGAUAUUCGGAAGAACACCAGUGGCGAAGGCGGCUCACUGGACCGGUAUUGACGCUGUGGCGCGAAAGCGUGGGGAGCAAACAGG